UAGAAUUCCACGUGUAGCGGUGAAAUGCGUAGAGAUGUGGAGGAAUACCGGUGGCGAAGGCGGCCUUCUGGACAGAUACUGACGCUGAGAUGCGAAAGCGUGGGGAGCAAACAGGAUUAGAUACCCUGGUAGUCCACGCUGUAAACGAUGUCGAUUUGGAGUUUGUUGCCUAGAGUGAUGGGCUCCGAAGCUAACGCGAUAAAUCGACCGCCUGGGGAGUACGGCCGCAAGGUUAAAACUCAAAUGAAUUGACGGGGGCCCGCACAAGCGGUGGAGCAUGUGGUUUAAUUCGAUGCAACGCGAAGAACCUUACCUGGUCUUGACAUCCACAGAAUCUUGCAGAGAUGCGAGAGUGCCUUCGGGAACUGUGAGACAGGUGCUGCAUGGCUGUCGUCAGCUCGUGUUGUGAAAUGUUGGGUUAAGUCCCGCAACGAGCGCAACCCUUAUCCUUUGUUGCCAGCGAUUUGGUCGGGAACUCAAAGGAGACUGCCGUUGAUAAAGCGGAGGAAGGUGGGGACGACGUCAAGUCAUCAUGGCCCUUACGACCAGGGCUACACACGUGCUACAAUGGCGUAUACAAAGGGAGGCGACCUCGCGAGAGCAAGCGGACCUCAUAAAGUACGUCUAAGUCCGGAUUGGAGUCUGCAACUCGACUCCAUGAAGUCGGAAUCGCUAGUAAUCGUGAAUCAGAAUGU
rnacentral:rRNA from 1 species